UACGUAGGGUGCGAGCGUUAAUCGGAAUUACUGGGCGUAAAGCGUGCGCAGGCGGUUCGUUAUGUCCGAUGUGAAGGCCCCGAGCUCAACUUGGGAAUGGCAUUGGAAACUGGCGGGCUGGAGUGUGGCAGAGGGGGGUGGAAUUCCACGUGUAGCAGUGAAAUGCGUAGAGAUGUGGAGGAACACCGAUGGCGAAGGCAGCCCCCUGGGCCAACACUGACGCUCAGGCACGAAAGCGUGGGGAGCAAACGGG
rnacentral:rRNA from 1 species